rnacentral:tmRNA from 2 species
GGGGCUGAUCGGCUUCGAUGGAAGUCCCUUUCCAUACAAUCAAGUCGAGGAUGCAUUUGUCCUCGUAAAUCCCAGAUGCAAAAAGAUAAUUGCCAACAUCUUUACAAAAGCAAAGCAAGCAUUUUCAAUGCCUGCUUUCGCUCCGGUCGUCGCUUAAGUCGAUGACUCAUUCGCCCUUGUUCUGCUCGAUUGCAAGGAUGCGGGUGUAAUAUUUUCGAGCUUCCGCUAAAAAGCGGACCCCGCUUUGCGGGGCGAUCAGAAGGUCACCUUUUCUUUCUGGUUUAAAAAGGCAAAAGGUACUGGAACGCGUAUUUCUUCUCACUUUAAGCGCGGAACAGGAUUAAAGUGAGAAUGUACUUGGAAACGUUGUAUGGUUAAACCUUACCAGACGGGGGUUCAAUUCCCCCCAGCUCCACCA